AUUGAACGCUGGCGGCAGGCCUAACACAUGCAAGUCGAACGAGUGGCGGACGGGUGAGUCAUGUCUGGGAAACUGCCCGAUGGAGGGGGGUAACUCCUGGAAACGGUGGCUAAUACCGCAUACCAUCGGAUGUGCCCAGAUAGGAUUAGCUAGUAGGUGGGGUAAAGGCUCACCUAGGCGACGCUCCCUAGCUGGGCGGAGAGGAGGACCAGCCACACUGGAAAUGAGACACGGGCCAGACUCCUACGGUAGGCAGCAGGGGGGAAGAUUGCACAAUGGGCGGAAGGCUGAUGCAGCCAGGCCGCGUGUAUGAAGAAGGCCUUCGGGUUGGAAAGUACUUGCAGCGGGGAGGCGUUACCCGCAGAAGAAGCACCGGCUAACUCCGUGCCAGCAGCCGCGGUAAUUC
rnacentral:rRNA from 1 species